rnacentral:rRNA from 1 species
CCUACGGGAGGCAGUGGGGAAUUUUCCGCAAUGGGCGAAAGCCUGACGGAGCAAUACCGCGUGAGGGAAGAAAGCCUACUGGGUUGUAAACCUCUUUUUUCAGGGAGGAAAAAAAUGACGUGUACCUGAAGAAUAAGCAUCGGCUAACUCCGUGCCAGCAGCCGCGGUAAGACGGAGGAUGCAAGUGUUAUCCGGAAUUACUGGGCGUAAAGCGUCUGUAGGUGGUUUAAUAAGUCAACUGUUAAAUCUUGAGGCUUAACUUCAAAACAGCAGUCGAAACUAUUAGACUAGAGUAUAGUAGGGGUAAAGGGAAUUUCCAGUGGAGCGGUGAAAUGCGUAGAUAUUGGAAAGAACACCGAUGGCGAAAGCACUUUACUGGGCUAUUACUAACACUCAGAGACGAAAGCUAGGGUAGCAAAUGGGAUUAGAUACCCCAGUAGUCCUAGCUGUAAACAAUGGAUACUGGAUGUUGAACAGAUCGACCUGUGCAGUAUUAAAGCUAACGCGUUAAGUAUCCCGCCUGGGAAGUAUGCUCGCAAGAGUGAAACUCAAAGGAAUUGACGG